rnacentral:rRNA from 1 species
UGGGGAAUAUUGGACAAUGGGGGCAACCCUGAUCCAGCAAUGCCGCGUGUGUGAAGAAGGUCUUCGGAUUGUAAAGCACUUUCGACGGGGACGAUGAUGACGGUACCCGUAGAAGAAGCCCCGGCUAACUUCGUGCCAGCAGCCGCGGUAAUACGAAGGGGGCUAGCGUUGCUCGGAAUGACUGGGCGUAAAGGGCGUGUAGGCGGUUUACACAGUCAGAUGUGAAAUCCCCGGGCUUAACCUGGGAGCUGCAUUUGAUACGUGUAGACUAGAGUGUGAGAGAGGGUUGUGGAAUUCCCAGUGUAGAGGUGAAAUUCGUAGAUAUUGGGAAGAACACCGGUGGCGAAGGCGGCAACCUGGCUCAUGACUGACGCUGAGGCGCGAAAGCGUGGGGAGCAAACAGGAUUAGAUACCCUGGUAGUCCACGCUGUAAACGAUGUGUGCUAGAUGUUGGGUAACUUUGUUAUUCAGUGUCGCAGUUAACGCGUUAAGCACACCGCCUGGGGAGUACGGCCGCAAGGUUGAA